CAAAUCUCAAACCAGCCAGACAGACGUCUGCCAAAGUUUGUUGGAGAGGCCACACUCAAUGAAGAUAAAUUAAAGGAGAAACUGAAGGACAAACAGAAAGACCAGCCUGAAGAAGCAUUUAAGAGAAAAGUGUUUCAGGAAGAACUGCAGUAUAAAUGGAGGAAAAGGGUAGAGGACUACAGCUGGUCUCCCAUCGCAGAUCUAAAAGCUGA